CCCGUUUCUUCAAUACAUUUUUGUGGGGCCGAAGCCCAUAGGCCGCUUGGUGCUGGUGAUAACGAGAGAGAGGUACUAGUCUAAAGCAGCAACAAUUUCCUUUCCCAUCUCGGCUCUGGAUAUAAAGAAGAAACAAGGGCAAAUUGGCUGUGAAAAUGGCGUCGGCGAUUUUGCGAUCUGGUCUUCUUCGAAAUGCUCUUCGCGGCGGCUCCCGGGCCUCUGCUCCUCCUAAGAGACGUUUCUCUUCCUCUGCUCAUCAAGAUGAAGCUUAUGAGGCGGCUGAGGCAUCAAAGUGGGAGAAGAUAACAUAUUUGGGCAUUGCUACAUGCACUAUCUUAGCUUUUUAUAACCUAUCAAAGGGUCAUCCUCACCAUGAAGAGCAUCCUCCAUACCAAUAUUUGCACAUUCGCAAUAAGGAGUUCCCAUGGGGUAUGUAUCAAUGAACUGUUAAUUUUCUGGUUUUAUUCUGGCUUCCAAGAAAAAUAAAGACUUUUAAAAAUUCUUAUUGCAUUUCGACUUUCUCAUUUCUUCUUUUUUUGUUUAUUCUUUUCCUCCUAAUUUACUCUGAAGUGGAGCAACAUUCUUAGGUUGAGUAGUUGAAAUAACUCUUUCAUCGAGUGAACUACUCUCUAGUAUUUGGAUAAUUUGAAUGGAGGCUUUUAACUCAAGUAAUAAAGUCAUGAUUCCCAUCUGAUUGUGGUGCCAUGAACGGGCGUGUAGAAACAUUAAUGGGGUUCUGUAGCAGGAGGAAAAGUUAUGAUGCUUAUUUUAACUGAAAAUAUUAGCUAAAGUUGAUGGGUUUGUUGUAUAUGUAGUUAGGUGGCUAGAAUUAUACUGGGUAUUCACUGUGCCUUGGGUACUUUUAAAUUUGGUUAUAGUCCAAUUGAAACUAGCUCUGUUCAAAUGUGCCAAAGUUCAGUUCCAUUUGUUUAUUAAAGAAUCUAGCACUUAUUUUUUCCCUAGUUGAGUUUUGGUAUAAGUAAUAAUACUGUGGCCUUGUGAUUUUGUGUUGGAACUUUUGAUGGCAUUUCCAAUAGAGUAUUAAGCAAAGUUCUUUUGUGGGUGCUAGGGAAAAAAAAAAAGAGUAAAUCUCAAAUAUAUAAAUGUCAUUAAGGGCAUUUAGGAGGGGGGUGGUUACAAGUGUAAGAACAAUGAGAGGGGAUGUAGAUGAGUUCCUUAUAAUAGUGGGUUUACAUUAGGUAUUAGUUCUAAGUCUGUACCUAUUUGCUUUAGUCUUGGAUGAGGUAAUUAGUUACAUUCAAGAUGAUGUCCUGCGAUAAACGUUAUUUGCAGAUGAAAUUAGCAAAUGAGUUAAUUUAAGUAUUUAGGUUCUAUUAUCUUAAAGAGCGUAGUAAUAGUUGAUGAUUUAAAUUGGGAUCAAAUCAAGAUGGAUGGAAUGGAAGAGGGCAACGGGUAUGUUAUGCGACCUUAAUAUCCCUGACGAAGUAAAAAGUAAGUUCUAUGUAAUUAUGGUCAGAGCAGCGAUAUUGUACAGGAGCAAAUGCUGAGCAUCUAAGGUAUAAUAUAUCUAGAAGAUGAGUAUGAUAGAGAUGUAUGUGUUAAAAUGAAUGUCUAGUAUUAAGAUAAUGGAAAAGAUUAAGAAUGAUUACAUUUGAUAGAGAUAGCACAUACUAGGGAUAAAAUCAGAGUGUUGAUUAAGAUGGUUUAGCCAUGUUCAACAUAGAUAAUUAAAUCUCCAAUACAAAAAUGUGGUAAGUUAAUGGUGGAAGAAGUGAGAGGGAAAGGAAGAGACUUAAAAUGUUAUAGAGGGAAAUAGUAUAAAACAUUUAUAGUUUUUGAAUAUUAAUGCAAAAUUAGUCUCAAAUAGAGCUGAAUGGCGAAUAGUGAUCCGUAUAACUGAUCUCAACUAUUCAGUGUUAUUAAAUGUGCCAAAAGGUGCCAAGCAAGGCGCACCCUUAUUCCAAGAGUGGAGCGCCUCUCUCGCCAAGGCGCUGAGGCGUGCCUCUUUCAAAUUUACUUUUUAUUUUUAUAAGUUUUCUCUCCUUCUCUCCUCUCCUAUUUCUCCCUAAACCCUAACAAAGUGGAGAUAAUUAAUCUUUUUUUGAAUUUUAUUUCCUUUCUACAAUCUUAUUAUUUUCUGCAUUCUAUUUCUUUUAUGUUACAUAUAGUGCACAAAUAAUAUAAAA
rnacentral:misc_RNA from 1 species